rnacentral:sRNA from 1 species
AGAAGUAGUAUACCGCAGCGUAUCCUCAACGGGCUCUGCUGCGGGUAAUUCUUUAUAUAAAGUACCUAGGAGUGAAUAGUGGCCCGUAUAGCAGGCAUUAACAUUCCUGAU